CGUGCCGGGUCCUUGAGCCUCGGCCCUUUUCCCCGCGCGACAGCGGGGCGGCCUUGGAGUGGCUGACCGAGCGGCCCCUGAUGGGCUAAUUGGACCAGGGCCCACCGUCCGGGCGGUGACUCUGGGGCGGAGGAGAGUGUCCUGUGUUUGGCCUGGAACUGGGUUAGGCAGUUUCCACUUGUUGGUUCCAAAGAAUGUGAAGCUGAGGUGCAGGUGCACCCGCUUCCCCAGAUUGUGAGACUUGGAGGCCGGUAAUCACUCCCCUCCCGCAGCGGAACAGGUGUUAUUCCUGUCUUCCAGUUCUUGUGUUGAUCAGCAGAUAUUUAUUGAAUGUCUACCUAGCUAUGCAAGUCAGUGAGCCCAGUGAUGCGGAGUAUACAAAAACACCUGGCCCCAUUUCUGUUGUGCAGCUGGGGAGAAAAGAUGUAGUCACAUGAGAUCAUCAUUCAGUUCAUCAUGAUCUAAGCCCAAAAAACAGAACAAAACAAACAAAAACUUGCUUGGAUUGACCGAAUACAGUUAUAAAACGUAAACAUGGACAAUGAACCAGACCAUGAAAAUGUGGAACAUAGCCUCUGUGCCAAGACUACUGAUGAAGAACUGAAUAAGUCUUUCAAUCUGGAAGCUUCACUUUCAAAGUUCUCCUACAUAGAUCUGGACAAGGAACUAGAGUUCAGAAAUGAUCUGAUUGAUGAUAAGGAGUUUGAUAUUCCUCAAGUUGAUACUCCUCCAACACUGGAAAGCAUACUAAAUGAAACUGAUGACGAAGAUGAUUCUUUUGUUCUUGAAGAUCCUACAUUGUUAAAUAUUGAUACUAUUGAUUCUCACUCCUAUGAUACUUCGUCUGUGGCAAGCUCAGAUAGUGGCGAUAGGACCAACUUAAAAAG